GAUGAAGAACGUAGCGAAAUGCGAUAAGUAGUGUGAAUUGCAGAAUUCAGUGAAUCAUCGAAUCUUUGAACGCACAUUGCGCCCCUUGGUAUUCCAUGGGGCAUGCCUGUUCGAGCGUCAUUUGUACCUUCAAGCUUUGCUUGGUGUUGGGUGUUUGUCUCGCCUUUGCGUGUAGACUCGCCUUAAAAUAAUUGGCAGCCGGCGUAUUGAUUUCGGAGCGCAGUACAUCUCGCGCUUUGCACUCAUAACGACAGCGUCCAAAAGUACAUUUUACACUCUUGACCUCGGAUCAGGUAGGGAUAACCGCUGAACUUAAGCAUAUCAAUAAGCGGAGGA
rnacentral:misc_RNA from 1 species